AAUCACCUGAGAUGUGCGAAUCCCUGCUAUUUUGAACCUAUAUUAUAAUUCAGGGAAGUCAAUACUUUAAUCAGCUGGCAAGCCGUAAUAGGCGGACGUCAAAAAAUUAGAUGCGAUUACCCACCUAGCAGAGCUAGGCGUCAAAAUUGUAGGAUACGGCAUUUUGGGAUAGUU
rnacentral:other from 1 species